AGUCACAUCUCCCCUCGUGAUUUACUCACAACAAAAAGGCAGCCGAUUGCAAUCCCUCAAAGCAGCAACGUGGUUUUGUAGUUCAACAUCUGGGUGAUUGGGAUGUUAUGACGUUUUACAAAAAAUUUAUGGGAGAAUCAAGUUAGGAAUAUGUCGAAAUGAAAAUGUAUUCACCAGUAACCAGGUUCAAGUUGUCCAGUUUUUCACUUCUAAUAAAAAUAAUCAUUUUUCCUGCUAGAGUGCAAAUCGAUUCAUUAUUCUCAAAGUCCACAAUCCGCAUUCUCCAAGUGACGGUACCGACGGACGUCUGGACGAGAUCUUGCAAAUAAAAAUGCUGGAAAUUGGAAAACUGACUUUCAUCGGAACGUUCAAAAUGAGUUGUAUUAUCCGAGAUCCAAAUGCGUUACAGAAGGAAAACUUUCAUGACCAGGCGUAGAUCAUCCGCGUUGCGACUGUGUGCUGUAUCCUGCUGACCGGAGGAGAGAACCAACGAAUCAGAUCCCAAUGUUGAUCUGAUUUAAUAAAUAAAUCGGCAACUUAAUUCUUCAUUGGGAGAAAUAGCAGGAGAUGAAGAUCGAAUACCGGAGGAUCUAGGUCACUAGGCACCUUUUCCUUCCGUUGAAUCAUCUCCAC